GGGGGAUUUCCCGAGCGGUCAAAGGGGACAGACUGUAAAUCUGCUGUCUACGACUUCGGUGGUUCGAAUCCACCAUCCCCCACCA
rnacentral:tRNA from 1 species